rnacentral:rRNA from 1 species
AACGAACGCUGGCGGCAGGCUUAACACAUGCAAGUCGAACGCACCUUUCGGGGUGAGUGGCAGACGGGUGAGUAACGCGUGGGAAUCUACCCUUCUCUACGGGAUAGCUCCGGGAAACUGGAAUUAAUACCGUAUACGUCCUGAGGGAGAAAGAUUUAUCGGGGAAGGAUGAGCCCGCGUUGGAUUAGCUAGUUGGUGGGGUAAAGGCCUACCAAGGUGACGAUCCAUAGCUGGUCUAAGAGGAUGAUCAGCCACAUUGGGACUGAGACACGGCCCAAACUCCUACGGGAGGCAGCAGUGGGGAAUAUUGGACAAUGGGCGCAAGCCUGAUCCAGCCAUGCCGCGUGAGUGAUGAAGGCCCUAGGGUUGUAAAGCUCUUUCAGUGGGGACGAUAAUGACGGUACCCACAGAAGAAGCCCCGGCUAACUUCGUG